CACGUAGGGCGCAAGCGUUGUCCGGAAUUAUUGGGCGUAAAGAGCUCGUAGGUGGUCUGUUGCGUCCGCUGUGAAAACUCGGGGGCUUAACCCCCGAGCCUGCAGUGGAUACGGGCAGACUAGAGGUAGGUAGGGGAGAAUGGAAUUCCCGGUGUAGCGGUGAAAUGCGCAGAUAUCGGGAGGAACACCGGUGGCGAAGGCGGUUCUCUGGGAAUAUCCUGACGCUGAGGAGCGAAAAGUGUGGGGGAGCGAACAGG
rnacentral:rRNA from 1 species